GGAAUAUUGGACAAUGGGCGCAAGCCUGAUCCAGCCAUGCCGCGUGUGUGAAGAAGGCCUUCGGGUUGUAAAGCACUUUCAGCGGGGAGGAAGGGUGUUGUGUUAAUAGCACAGCAUUUUGACGUUACCCGCAGAAGAAGCACCGGCUAACUCCGUGCCAGCAGCCGCGGUAAUACGGAGGGUGCAAGCGUUAAUCGGAAUUACUGGGCGUAAAGGGUUCGUAGGUGGCCAACUUAGUCAGACGUGAAAUCCCUCGGCUCAACCGGGGAACUGCGUCUGAUACUGGAUGGCUUGAGUGCAGGAGAGGAACGCGGAAUUCCAGGUGUAGCGGUGAAAUGCGUAGAUAUCUGGAGGAACACCGGUGGCGAAGGCGGCGUUCUGGACUGUAACUGACACUGAGGAACGAAAGCCAGGGGAGCAAA
rnacentral:rRNA from 1 species